rnacentral:rRNA from 1 species
UAGCAAUACUUUGGUGGCGACCGGCGCACGGGUGAGUAACGCGUAUGCAACCCACUUAUCAGAGGGGAAUAACCCGGCGAAAGUCGGACUAAUACCGCAUAAAACAGGGACACCGCAUGGUGAUAUUUGUUAAAGAAAUUCGCUGAUAGAUGGGCAUGCGUUCCAUUAGGUAGUUGGUGAGGUAACGGCUCACCAAGCCGACGAUGGAUAGGGGAACUGAGAGGUUGGUCCCCCACACUGGUACUGAGACACGGACCAGACUCCUACGGGAGGCAGCAGUGAGGAAUAUUGGUCAAUGGGCGAGAGCCUGAACCAGCCAAGUCGCGUGAAGGAAGAAGGAUCUAUGGUUCGUAAACUUCUUUUGCAGGGGAAUAAAGUGCAGGACGUGUCCUGUUUUGUAUGUACCCUGAGAAUAAGGAUCGGCUAACUCCGUGCCAGCAGCCGCGGUAAUACGGAGGAUCCGAGCGUUAUCCGGAUUUAUUGGGUUUAAAGGGUGCGUAGGUGGUUUGAUAAGUCAGCGGUGAAAGUUUGCAGCUUAACUGUAAAAAUGCCGUUGAAACUGUCGGACUUGAGUGUAAAUGAGGUAGGCGGAAUGCGUGGUGUAGCGGUGAAAUGCUUAGAUAUCACGAAGAACUCCGAUUG